rnacentral:rRNA from 1 species
UACGGAGGGUGCAAGCGUUAUCCGGAUUUACUGGGUUUAAAGGGUGCGUAGGCGGACUUAUAAGUCAGUGGUGAAAUCUCCCAGCUUAACUGGGAAACUGCCAUUGAAACUAUUUGUCUUGAGUACAUUUGAGGCGGGCGGAAUGUGUCAUGUAGAGGUGAAAUUCUUAGAUAUGACACAGAACACCAAUUGCGAAGGCAGCUCGCUAAACUGUAACUGACGCUGAGGCACGAAAGCGUGGGGAUCAAACAGG